CAAUUAAAUUUGUCAAUCAAUUACUAUUGGAUUGGAAUUCAGCUAAAUGUUUGAGCAAGUGAUAUAUAUCAGAUGUAUGUGUCGAGGAAAAGAAAAAAGCAAAACUGAUACUGAUAUUAUUGAAUAUGUGCGAUGGGGCUUUUGUGUUGAAAUAAUUUGGAAUUGACAUUAUUUCCUCUUGAAAGUAUGGAAUAUUACGGAAGAAAUUAUUUACUUUCUAUUUACUUUGUAUUUUUAAUUCAUAUUUGCUUUACAAAAUAGAUGUUUUAUCUAUUUUAUUGAAACAAUUUUGCAGUGAAAGUUGGAAAGAGAAUUUGUUUUUUAUGGCUGUUGUGCAAAUACUUUUGUAGAACCUGAUGAAAAAGAAAUGGUUGAUAGAGGACAAAUAUGGUUCUGAGAUUGCUUAAGGAUAUUUCUUACUUGCACUUUAUGAUUAACAAAAAAGAUAUUUUGCAUAAUUUAUGAUUUGAAAUCAUCUACUCAUUUUAUUACAUGUAACUUUUGUGCAUUAAAUUACUACAAAAACCUCAAAAGUAGAUGUAAUGAUACAAGUUAUCUUUUUAUGUCAUUUUAAGACAUGAUCUAAACAUAUGGUGCUAACCUUUGCUCUUUUAUAUUUUUUUUGGCAAUGAUAAAACAGUUGUUUUCAGUAGAUGAAGGAUUUGGUUACUCUAAAUAGAUUCAAUUUGAUGCUCCAGGUGUUCAAACAAAAGUAUUAAAGAGCAUCAUGUGUUUUGGCUUUCUUUUGAUUUUUAUUUGCCUCCAAAUGUUUAAAUUGGUAUUUGAAAUGUAUCAAGGAUGAUUUUGAUGCCUGAGCUCUUAUUAGAAGAAUAUUUGAAAAGAUGAUUGCUUAACAUAGUUCAUUUCUUUUUAUGACCAUGGUAUCCCGAUUGAGCAAAUCCAUGCUGUUAUUGCUUUUAGUAGUUAAUACCUUCCACGGGGAAAGGAACUGCAAGUGUGAAGUUUUUAGAAUAACUUUGGUAUUUGCUAAAUUUAUGUUUUAGUAGUUAUAACUUUUUUUUGUUUGGUAUUGUCUCUUGCAGUUUUGGUAUUUGUUGUUGCCUUGGUCUGAUCUUUGAUGUUUUUGUUUUGAAUGUGAGACCCGAUCGUUACUUUAUUUUUCAGUAGUUACAACUAUAUGUCUUACUAAUCCAAAAAUAAAAACUUGCGAAAGCAAGCAUUAAAUUCAUCCUUCCGUGGUUACAUGCAAAUAUGUGCUAAUAAGUUUUAUCGUUUCAUGGUUUUUGGAAGUUAUUGCAGUGCUGGAUGUCUUCCUGCCUCCUACUUGGAGUCUUGGAGAAAGAGUUCUGGAAAGAAAUUGCUUGCGAAAAAAUGGAAACAGUUCAAUAUGCAUGUGAUGUUGAUGCAGUGCCUUCUCAUCUCCUUCUGAUCAGCUUGGUAGCAGUAAUUGGAAUUUGAAGGGAGUAACUGAACCCAUGUUGUACAUUAGAAUGCUGUUUAGUAUGUUUGCUUGGAAUGUUGAGGAUCAUUAUUUGUACAGAAUUAAUUAUCAUCACUGUGGGGCAUCAAAAUGAUAUUCCAGGUCAUGCAGCAUUGGACUUUGAAAGGGUGGUGAGAGAACAUGUGUAUGUACUAAUGAUAUUUUGUCAAGUGAUGGGGAAGAUGGAGCCUUUGAUGUUUUCUUGGGGAAAACAACUCUAUUUUCGCCAAAUAGUGUGCUGGAACAUGAAGUCCCCGUUUACAAGGCUGUUCAAAAGCUAAGGGAGUUUGUGAUUACCUUCGCUAAGGCAGACCAUGCUGGAUUCAGUCAUGGUUAGAUUUGCUCAUUCCCAUACACUUCAUUUUCAAGAAUAUUAUGCCCUGCUACCUUUCC